UACACACCGCCCGUCACACCAUGGGAGUUUGUUGCACCAGAAGCAGGUAGCUUAACCUUCGGGAGGGCGCUUGCCACGGUGUGGCCGAUGACUGGGGUU
rnacentral:rRNA from 1 species